GUGAACCUACGGGACGCAGCAGUAAGGGAUAUUGGUCAAUGGGGGAAACCCUGAACCAGCAACGCCGCGUGAGGGAAGACGGUUUUCGGAUUGUAAACCUCUGUCCUCUGUGAAGAUGAUGACGGUAGCAGAGGAGGAAGCUCCGGCUAACUACGUGCCAGCAGCCGCGGUAAUACGUAGGGAGCGAGCGUUGUCCGGAUUUACUGGGUGUAAAGGGCGUGUAGGCGGGCAUGCAAGCCAGAAGUGAAAUCUGGGGGCUUAACCCCCAAACUGCUUUUGGAACUGCGGGUCUUGAGUGAUGGAGA
rnacentral:rRNA from 1 species